CCCCCCCUGCCCCAUGCGGACUACGCGCCUGGUCGUCAUGGUUUCAAGUAUACGGAAACGAAAAGCUUCAAGUCGUUUCGUUCGGUUGUGGCUUGUGCCACCGUGUGUGAAUAGACAUAUAACCUGAGACCAAUGUCCCUCAUCGUAGCACUACCUAACACAUCUGCUGUGACUUGCUACCACUGUACUUAACACCGUUGCCAUGCCAUGGUGUCUCAUACGGAAACCGAGAACCUCGGGAUAUUUCAAAUCAUUUUCGUUUGCCCGUUUUGUUUAUGUUCUUUUUUUAGUUCGUUGCCUCAACAGUACAAUGUACCACUUCAAAGAGGGUCGAACAUUUCAUUCGUUGUGGCUUGUGUCACCCUGUAAGAAUAAUCGUGUAUCCCGAGACCAAUGCACUUAACUUUAGUACCUUCAAUUUACACUGAUUUAUUACGUAAUAAGUUACUUGAGUUAUGACUGGAGUGCACCCAGCUCCUCUGGCAUGUCGAGCACUUCAUUAAAACUUUAAAAGUGCUUUGACAUUGAUUUCUGACAGUGUGAAUUGCCAGGUCACAUGCCGGGACAGAUGCAGCUGAUAUGCUUCAUUGCUGUAAGCUGAGUUUGGCUUCCUCCAAACCACCUGGCUGACCCUCAGCGGUUGGUUUGGCUGCUUCUCGAAGGCAGUCAUUAUUAAAUUAAUUUUGUUUGCA